GAUGAACGCUGGCGGCGCGCCUAACACAUGCAAGUCGAACGGUUAAAGCACCUUUUAGGUGUGUAUAAAGUGGCGAACGGCUGAGUAACACGUGGGCAACCUGCCCUUCUCUUGGGGAUAGCCUCGGGAAACCGAGGAUAAUACCCGAUACUUCAAUGUGGCCGCAUGGCGACAUUGAGAAAGCUUUUGCGGAGAAGGAUGGGCCCGCGGCCUGUUAGCUUGUUGGUGGGGUAGAGGCCUACCAAGGCAAUGAUGGGUAGCUGGGUUGAGAGACCGACCAGCCAGAUUGGGACUGAGACACGGCCCAGACUCCUACGGGAGGCAGCAGUGGGGAAUCUUGCACAAUGGGCGAAAGCCUGAUGCAGCGACGCCGCGUGCGGGACGAAGGCCUUCGGGUUGUAAACCGCUUUCAGCAGGGACGAGGCGAUAAGUGACGGUACCUGCA
rnacentral:rRNA from 2 species